rnacentral:rRNA from 1 species
GAUGAACGCUGACAGAAUGCUUAACACAUGCAAGUCAACUUGAACUUCGGUUUGGGUGGCGGACGGGUGAGUAACGCGUAAAGAACUUGCCUCACAGAUAGGGACAACAUUUGGAAACGAAUGCUAAUACCUGAUAUUAUGAUUUUAGGGCAUCCUAGAAUUAUGAAAGCUAUAUGCGCUGUGGGAGAGCUUUGCGUCCCAUUAGCUAGUUGGAGAGGUAACGGCUCACCAAGGCGAUGAUGGGUAGCCGGCCUGAGAGGGUGAUCGGCCACAAGGGGACUGAGACACGGCCCUUACUCCUACGGGAGGCAGCAGUGGGGAAUAUUGGACAAUGGACCAAGAGUCUGAUCCAGCAAUUCUGUGUGCACGAUGAAGUUUUUCGGAAUGUAAAGUGCUUUCAGUUGGGAAGAAAAAAAUGACGGUACCAACAGAAGAAGUGACGGCUAAAUACGUGCCAGCAGCCGCGGUAAUACGUAUGUCACAAGCGUUAUCCGGAUUUAUUGGGCGUAAAGCGCGUCUAGGUGGUUAUAUAAGUCUGAUGUGAAAAUGCAGGGCUCAACUCUGUAUUGCGUUGGAAACUGUGUAACUAGAGUACUGGAGAGGUAAGCGGAACUACAAGUGUAGAGGUGAAAUUCGUAGAUAUUUGUAGGAAUGCCGAUGGGGAAGCCAGCUUACUGGACAGAUACUGACGCUGAAGCGCGAAAGCGUGGGUAGCAAACAGG